GCAACGCUCCUUCUCAAUUUUUCUCUGAAUUUUCUCUAUCUUUCUUACGCUAACAGUAACAAUGGAGGAACAAAACUCUUCCUCUUGCUCUCAAUUCCCUUCACCGAACAAUCAACAACACAAAUCCCUCUCUCCAUUUCUUUCUCCCACUCGUCAUCUCUCUCUCGUUCUCCAUUAAACAACAACAACCGAAGCCCUCUCGUUUUGCUCUUCUCACGGCAACAAUUUCAGGUUCUCCCUCGGUUCACUCUUGGUCUCUCUCACGAUUUGCUCUCAGUCUCUCUUGCGGUGCUCUCUCAACGGAAGGCUGUAUGUCUCUCUCGAUUCUCUUUCUCGGAGCAACAACAACUUUUGGUUCAUGUGAUUGAAGACAAACUCAGAUGAUAAGCAAGAGUAUAUUUGCAGCAACUAUUAUCAAUAAUUUUGAGAGUGAAGAUGAAAUCGACUUACUUGCGGCAAGGAGAUUUUUGCCGGUUAUCACCGAGGUACGUAUCGAUUCUGCUUCUGAAAUUCUGCCUCUACGUUUGCUGCGUUUCUGUUCUAAGUGAUUGUUGACUCUGAGUCGCGAAUCUGAACCGCUGCUACGUUGCUGUUACGGCUUCAAAUUCAUCACGAAUUAUUGCUACGGCGAGGAGACUUUCGCCGGAUUAUUGUUGAAGGAUCCUUUGAUGAAGAUGAUACCACCUCUUUGGAUAUUAGGGAGACUUGAAGAUGGACUUCAAGUUGGAACUCUCCACUAAGGUAUGAACUACUUCUCACUCCUUUUCAAACUAUGGAACUAAGAAACUUUGAAAAUUAUGAGAGAAAAGGGAGGAGUGAAAAAAGCAAGUAGUUAAGGUUGCUUUGGUGUGUUUUGCAAUGAAGAGAACACCUCUAUUUAUAGGAAAAGCUUAGGAUGUGUUUGGCAUAAAAAUUAACUUGAUUGGCAAGAUUGUAAUCAUUGAGAAAAUAAGAAUAAGAAUAAGAAUAUUCUCCAUGUCAUUAUGCAAAGAUAUUUCUUAUGAUAUGAAUCAUGCAAGUGGAAGAAAAAUCUCUCUUUGAUUCCUUUUUGUCUUGAAUUAUCUCUUCUUUUUGAAUUAUUUCUUUUAUUGGACUUUUUGCUAAUCUCACCCCUUUUUGUUUCUUUUUUUUUUCAUGUGACAUGAGUAUUCUUUGAAGAAAGAAUGAAGAAACUUGAAUUCCAAGAAUGGAGAUUUGAAGAUUGAAGAAAGUCUUCAAGAAUGUCUUUGUAGUUUUUCUCUUUUUUCUUGUAAUUUCCAAUUCAUUCCAACUUUAAAAUUGUAUGAACUUGUAUUCUUGAAAAUGAAUAGAAUUUUGUAA